AAUUUUAUAAGCUGGAUCACAAAAUACUAUUUUCCCAAGAAAACUAUGGGUCUCCUCCCGGAGGAGGAUGUUAACUUUGUCUGGCUUCCUUGAGCCUCUUCUUUCAACUCGCGUUCCUGUGUGCUUGAGGCCGGGUGAUUGCCGGACGGCAUUGGGGAUCGGGGACUGAUCGUAAGAUAGACAGGCACAACAUCCACAAGCGGAUCGUGGACAACCAUGUUCUUUUAAUGAAAGCCUAAGCAAGAAUCCCUAGUUGCUCACAGGAAGGACCGCAUUGAUCCUGCCCUAAACGUCUUCUUCACAUCGGACGACCUCAAAGUUGGGAAGCAGGUGCCCAUAUACUUCCCCAGCAAGUUAGAAGGCCCUUCCAAGUCUCCGAGGCUCUUGACCAGAGAGCAAUCCGACUCCAUCCCUUUCUCAUCUGCUCAGCUCUCACGGCUCCCGUCCUCCUUCUCCAAUCCCCGGGGGCUCUCCUCAGGCGAAGGCCAUGGAACACACGCUCCAGCAGUGUGAGCUCGAGCUCGAGCCCAUCGAGGGAGAGACGAGGUUCUGUGCCACCUCCCUAGAGUCCAUGCUCCACUCGGCCCGCGAGGCCUUCGUGCCAAAAGCCCAGUUCAGAGCCUUGACCACCCUUACCUACCCAACAAGAAGGAGAAGGCCAGCGACGACCCGCUGCAAAACUGCACAACCUUGCAAGUGCCCGAGCAGAUUGAUGCGACUAGGGUCAUAGGUUGCCACACUAUGCCAUACCCGUACGCAGUGUUCUAACGCCACAGCCAAGCAGACAGUGAGACCAGAGCGUAUCAGAUUUCUCUCGGUGGUGGUGGUGGAGAGGAAGAGAGAGUUCGGUGGAGGCCGCAGCUCUUUGUCACCUGGACACGUCGUUUUGGGACGGAGACCACAUGUCGUUCCGAGUCCUCGGCAUGGAGCCCGAGUCCUCCCCGGUUUGCCACUUCUACCCCGCGGAUAAUCUCGUGUGGGUGGCCUCUUAGUACGGUCGUAUAAGUCACCCAGUAAAAUUAUCAGGACCUAUAUAUGUUUUCAACGAGCAAUAAUAUCACGUAAGGUAUCGUAUCUUGU